rnacentral:rRNA from 1 species
GACGUAGGGCGCGAGCGUUGUCCGGAUUUAUUGGGCGUAAAGAGCUCGUAGGCGGCUUGUCGCGUCGACUGUGAAAACCCGCGGCUCAACUGCGGCUUGCAGUCGAUACGGGCAGGCUAGAGUUCGGUAGGGGAGACUGGAAUUCCUGGUGUAGCGGUGAAAUGCGCAGAUAUCAGGAGGAACACCGGUGGCGAAGGCGGGUCUCUGGGCAACUACUGACGCUGAGGAGCGAAAGCGUGGGGAGCGAACAGG